rnacentral:pre_miRNA from 1 species
AUACUACUCCCUCCGUUCGGAAUUACUUGUCUCGGAAAUGGAUGUAUCUAGAACUAAAAUACAUCUAGAUACAUCCAUUUCUACGACAAGUAAUUCCGAACGGAGGGAGUAUUAU